UGCAGUUCAAGUGGUAGAAACUGUAUUAAUUUGAUGUUUCUCUGUCCUUUGGCAGAACUUUCAAAGGGAGCUCUCAUGAAUGGAAGUCAGUAAACUGGGAUUCAGAGGUCACAUCUGGCUCUCCAUCUGGUUUUGUAAAAUGGACUUUAUUCCUAAACAGGUCAUGUGUGGGUGCAGCCAUCUGUAAAUCAGGAAGAGAACUUGCUCCUGCAACUGAACUCUGAUCUUGUACUUUCCAGCCUUCAAAAUGAUUGGCAUUACAACAAAUAGGCAUUUGGUAGAACUUCCCAUCUGGCUGUUUUCAGAUAAACAAUUUGGAAGAAUGUACCAACGAGUCUCAUCAUCUUUACCAAUUUCAUUAAUUUGAAAACAGGCUUUAUGGAAAAAAAUAGCUUUUAAGCAAGCCUGUAGAUUCUAAAUAUGAUUAUUUCCAAGAUUGACAUCCUGUGAAGAUCCCAACUGGGAAAACUUGAACAUUAUAAACAAUAGGGAUUUAAUUCAAGGAGUUGAUUAUGUAGAUAAUUAAAGAGCUGAAACACAAAACAGGAAAAAUGAAAGAUGACCUAAAAAUUAAGAACAGAAAAAAAUGCUACCUCUUCUGGGACUAAGUAUCAAAAGGACAAGAUGUGGUCACCAAAAUGGAAGGAUCAGUAUCACCUGUGGGGUGCUGGAAACCGUUGUGGACUUUGCUGGAGGGAGAUGGAGGCUAAGAAGUACCUCUGCUAUGGUCAAAGACACCACUGCAGACUAACAAGAGAGGAAGAUAUGUGUCUUGGAUUCUCCCUUUCUCUCACUCUCUAGUCUCUUGACAAUGUCUGCCAUUGAUCAAACCCCAGGUGGAGACCAAAUGACAUGAACCCUGGAAAAUGCAACUUGCAAAGAUUGUCUCUCCUCUUAUCUAUUGCAGAGCAGAGAUUUUUUUUUAAAAAAAAUUGUUUUAUUUAUUUAUUUUUGCAGCCCUGGGAAUUAAACACAGGAACUCACACAUGUUAGUCAAGUGCUCUACCACUGAGCUACACUCUCAGCUCACUUUUUAAAAUUGUAUUUUGAAACAGGGUGUCCCUAAUUUGCCCAGGUUGGCUUUGAAUUCGUGAUCCUUCUGACUCAGCCUUCCAAGUAUCUGGGAGGUGUGUGCCACAACACCUGGCUAGAACAGAAAUUUUGAGAAAUGUAGCCGUGAUGUGAUAUCACCUGGGAUAUGAUAUUAACUGUAUCUUAAAUUUUAAAACAUGUACUAUGGAUUCAUUCUUGUCAUGUAACUAUCUAUUUUUUAGAAUAUGUCACUAAACAGAACAUAUACUUUGAAAAUUCUGUAUGAUUGAGGUCGAUCAAAAUCUCUUACUAUAGAAUCAUAUAUGGAUAUGAAUAAAAUGAUGAAGAUUAUUUGCUCUUUUUCAGUAAAGUGUGGUCAUCUGGGAGGGCAUUAGUGUCUACUCAUUUAUCUGACCAAUUAGUUUACACUUUAGAAACUGAUUGUGCACAGCAAAGGUGAUUUCAUUAGGAGAAAGUUUUGUAGCCAUGUGUCUUGAGUCCUGGGGAAAAGGGUGAAUGAAGGAAAGACUGUAAUAGCAGUAAGAAAAGGAUGGCAAUGUGGCACUUUGGACAGAAACCUAGUAGACAGCAGUAUCAGGAGGCUAGAGAAAGCAAAAAAGGGAAAGUAAUUUUAUCUGCUUCGAAGUAUGAAGUGGAGCUAUUCCUGGGUGUUUCUCAGACAUGGUUUCUGUUUUAGUAGCCUCAGAUUUCUAUUUAGGAAAGAAAGCAUAGCAAUGAGGGGCUAGUACAAACUAAGCAGUUUCUAUUGAAGCUAUACCUGCAUGACAAAAUGCAGACUCUAUUUAUUUGGUGUUGGAGUAGGAGCUGUUGGUAAACACUGAACAAAGUCAAGAAUAUUUUCCAAGGAAACCCUGGACUCUGCCUCCUGUAAUCUCUGCUUUGUAUUUCCUCUUAAAGAUAAUGUCAAGUCUGCAUUGAUGUAUAUUUUUUUUCUCAAGUGAAUCAAACAAGCUUCUGUCUAACUCCAUUUCUCAUUUUGUCUUGUAUGUAUUAUUCUUUUUCUAAAAUGAAAAAUAAAUUCAACAUUGGUUGCCAAACAUCUUCAUUAAUCAUCAACCUCUCAUUUCAAUGCAGUAUAGAAAGCAUGGUUAUCUAUUUUCAAAAGCAAAAUCAACUUUCAAGAUUUUUUUAAACAAAAGUUUGAUGGACAUUCUUUGAUUUAUUGCCUUAUCCGGGUAAAUUUAAUUUAAAAUUUAGGUAUAAUAAACGCUGAAAAUCUUGUUUAAUAUACAGCUCUUCAUCAUGAAGAUGAAGUUUAAUCAGAUUACAUGUUCGUCCUAUUAUCAGAAGACAAUGGAGAUAAAUAAUCAAGCCAACAAAACUCUAGAACACAUAACAUAAAUAUCAUCUUACUUUGAUGGAUCAAUAGAAUCGGAAAGAGAGCUUCUAGCCAGGUUAGCACAGUAAUUGAGAAACCGAAAAAUUUUCUCCUUCAAAAAUACCCUGUAGCCAGAUGGGGUGGUGCACUCCUGUAAUCCCAGUGACUCAGGAGGCUGAGACAGGAGGAUCCUGAGUUCAAAGCCAGCCUCAGCAAAAAGGAGGUAUUAAGCAAUCAGUGAGACCCUAUCUCAGGGAACCCUAAGAACCUCAUUAGGGCACAAAGAUAAUUAUUCUAGCACAUUUUCUCAGUGUGAUUCUUUUUCUAAUCCUCUUCUUCUUAUUAUUAGGCAUUUAUUUCCUAUGGUACUGAUUUUUCUCUAUGUCUCAUUUAUUUAUCAAAAUUGUUCCUUCCUAAGCUUUUAGUAUCUGAAAUGUUCUGGUAAACAUGGCUUUCUCACAUUGUUUUAGCUUGUGUAAUUUCAAAUUGUAUCAUUUUUUGUACUAAUUCAUAGACAAGAAUCAAUCCAUACACAUGCAUUUUCUCUCCAGGCCACUUGGAACACUAGCCAGGCUAUGGAUUGCCUACUCUUGAAUUAGGUAUCCAUCCAUGAUCAAAUCAGUUGUGGUCAGAAACAGUGUCACAAAAUGACGUGGAAAUCAUCCAUGGACACCUGGUUUCACAGCAGCUUCAGUGGUAGCUCAAGGGGCCGGGUAGUGGUGGUAUGACACAACAGUGUGGUUUCUCAACAUAAACAGAAUUUUCUCUGAGCCCUCGCUCAUCUCACAUUCAGUCAUAGAACAAAAGAGAAAUGGUUUCCUGUUUCCAAAAUUUCAGUGGUAUAUAUUUUCAGUAAAUAAAAACAUCUCCCAUUUUGCAAAGAAAAGUAAGGGCCAGAGGGGAUAAGUGAUGUAUUUAUUUUUAUGUAACUACUUAGCAUAGUUGAGACUAAUAUCUAAGAGUUCUGGUUUUUUUGUAGCAUAAUAAGAUAUUUUCUUUACUUGAGACUGAACAAAAACAGUUUUUGUUUUGUUUUGUUUUGUUUUUUGCUUAUGAAUGAGCAAUCUCUGCACUAAGCCUGCUUACCCUAAUUCUGCAGAUUGUGGCUGAGGGCAGUUCUGGGAAAGGUGUUCAUGGAUAGACUUAAUGCUUCUGAAUAGCCUGUAACUCAUUUGGUUUUCAAGAUACUGACAUUUCCAUAACAGAUUUCUUGCUAAUGUCUUUCCCCUGCCCUUCUAAAUGUGGCCUUUGAAAACAAAAAUAGGAAAUUUAGCUGGAGCCAAAUACUAGCCACUUUCAUUACCUGAGAUAUGUUAUAUGCAGGAUCCUAUUUAUAAACUAUAGUUAUCAAAUACACUACUAUUUAGAAAGUAAUUCAUAGUAUUCAGGGAAUGAAAUAAAGUUAUAGUAAGAGAAUAAGAACAUUUUUCUGUAAGUAAAGUCCUUGGAUUUGAGAAAGUAAUUAGAAUAAGUACUAAGGGAGAACAGCUUGAUUAGAGAUGACGAUCAUGAUGAUGAUGAUGAACAGAGGAAGUAAGGAGCAAUGGAGUCAAACCCCAGACUGAGUCCCAAUGUCCUUCCUUGUUCCUUCAUACACCACCUAAGGGCAGGAUGUUCAAAUGUAUACAUGUGAGACGUCAUUGUGGUCAUUGUGUAUGUACUAGGGUGGUUUCUGGAAGAAGAAAUCGAGUCAGAAGUGGAGAGCAGGGCUUUUAAGGAUUGACUAAACAUAGAAGAAAGAUAAGAGAGAAAAAUAUCUUAUGGCAGAAGUGAAAAGUAAGGGAGGGGAAGAGGAGUGGAGGAAGGGAGGCAAAAGUUUGUUUUAGACAGUUUCAAGAAAUAAAAUUAAUACAAGAUUUGUACACUUCUUAGUACUUAACAGAAGAGUUUCUGCUUAAAUUUGUUAUUUUUAGAAAUAGCUAUGUUCUCAAUUAUCAUUGAGCAUCAGAAAAUGUAAAACAAAAAUAUUAUUGCAAUACAUUUCAAAAGAAAUAGUAACUACCUAACUUAUGUUUGUACUGAUCACUAUGUACAAUGUCGUGUUAAAGCACCACAGAGUAGACCUUCCCAUGGAGAACAAGCCAGAAAAAUCAUGUUGUGAUCCUGGGUACUAGCACUAUAGGACAAGGCCCAACACUUAAAAGCUGUAUAGUUACUUCUUACAUUAAAACUGGAAUGAAAACUCUGCAGCUAAAAAACCCAAAUUAUAGCUUCAAGUGAUUUAAAAAUUCAGAAUGUGAAGACCUUAAUAAUACUCUACACAGGGACUCAAAAACAAGGCAUGAACUGAAGAGUAGUUUACCUUUAAGCUAAAUUUAGAACCUGAUUCAAAUACUGAAAUUAUUUACUUAAAAUAAAAAUUAAAGGAUCCAUUGAUUCUGACUAUUACCUGGCUCCCGCUGACCUGUCUCAUAGCAUCAUUUCAAGAUUUUCCCUAUACAUCAUGGGAAGGAGUUAAAGCCUUAGAGUCACUUGUUCAACAUUUAAAAUGGGUGCUCUAUUCCCUCAGGACUAUCAAACAGUAUAAAAAAGCAUGGAUCAUGCAAUCCAAUGCUAAUGUCAGAUAACUUGCUGGUAUUUAAAACAGUAUAUCCAAAUAUAUUUAACUAUCUCAUUUAGCUUCUAUAUGUAUAAUGUCAUGUUAAAGCAUGACAGAGUAGACCUUCUGUUACUAAUAUAAUAAAAAUUAAUUUUCUUAGUCAUUGCUUUUAAUAGAAGUAAAACGAGUGUAAACAAUUUGUUAGAAAUAACAGUGAGUAGAAAUAAGAAUAGUGAGAUAAUUUGCCAUGCAUUGCAGCUUCAUCCUUGUUAUUAUGUAAACAUGCUUCAUAAUCACCUUUAUAAAUUUAUAUACAGUGCCACAAAAUUCACUUAUGUAACUUGGCUAUAAUCCCUUUUCCAUGUCUGAUUUCAUUUUUUCCAUCCUCUUCUACCCUGUAAGUAUUAUUUUCCUCCUCUUUUCCUUUCAUCCUGCUUCUCUUCCUCCUCUUCUUCUUUCAAAUUUAGAUACUGGUGGCAUUGGACUUAUAAAGUACUCAUGGAAAACAUUUAUUCAUAGUUUAUCAUUACCCUAUCUCAUAGUAGAUCUUGAUACUUUUGUAUUAUUAAUAUAAUAAGAGAAAAUAAUAUUAUUACAAAAUAGAAUUUUCAAUCAACAAAUUUCCUUCAUUCUAUUGAUUGAUAGACGUAGGCUAAAAUUAAAAUUCCAUCUUUCAUAAGAAUUUUUGAAUCAGAGCAUAAUAUUUCAUUCAUGGAUGAACAAUUCACUUAUAAAUCAUUGAAAAAUGUAUCAAGAGUUAAAGUUGCAAAUGUAGAACAUCUCAGUCAUCUAUAAUUACUUUUCAAUGUUUUCAGAGUGAAACUGUAUGGCUUUAGAAAGCCUAGAUGGAAAUAACUUAAAAUUCAGUUUUCAUUAUCUCAGGUUGUGGAAUGAACAAGAUGGUUGGAUGAAUUAAAAGGUUAAGAAUUCUGUAUAAGUCUAGUGUGUGUUUUGAAUUUUUGUUUCUUUUCUGUAAAUUAUCAAACUCUCCUUUUCAAAUGGACCGUGAUGUUUGCCCUUUUGAAUUUAUGAUGGAUGCUAUACAAUUAAAAUCAUCAUGACAACUGAAAUGUGAAAGUAAUGGGCCUACAAAAAGUAAUUGCAAUAAAAUAAUCCUGGCAUUUCUCAAGUUCAGAAGUAUAAAGUACUUUAUCUCAGUAUCUAAUCUUUGUUUUUAACCUUCACUUACAUUUACUUUUACUAUUAAACAAGUUUCUUUUUUCUUAUUCAAAAUCCACACAACUGCAUUACUCUGGAUGAAUUUUUGUUUCUUUCUCUGUGACAUCAAGUUAAAAUAACUUCACAAAAUUAAGGUCAGCAAACAUUAAUUUACUUGUUCUAUUUUAUUUUCACUAAUUCAUGAUUAUUUUACUUUUUUCUUGUUUUCUUUUUAUUUGUAGA